CCUGAUUAUAUGUCUAUAUUUAAAUAUAUGCUCGAUGGCUUGAAAUCGAUGAAUUAUGAAUACUAAUUUUUUGAAAAGUAUGUUGUGCAUAAAUGAUUUUGAAUGAGAACGUAGUCUAUUUUUGAUUUAUUAGAUUAUGGAAAGUAUGCUCUAAUCGGAUUAUGGGAUUCGUGUGACAUGAGGAUUUUAGCGAAUAUUUAGUCAUUAUUAUUAUGGUUAUUAUUAUUGUCGUUAUCAUUAUUAUGUAUAAAGGUUUCCAUGUCGAGAGAAUAUAUAUAAUAUUGGGAUAUGGGUUUGUGAAUUGCACCAUCAUAUGUACCUUUCCCGGUUCGAUAUGGAUAAUAACCACCCAUGCAUUGAGGUAUUUUUCGACGUUGCGAGAUGUUGAUUAUCCAGGCACCCUUGGCGUGGUGUGUCGUGACCUUGACCGGCAUUCCAUUCGCGUAAGACUUAUUUCAGGUGCAUGGUAUUGAGGAUUCUACCGUACCUGUCUGGAGAGCAAUAGUCCCCUGGUUGGACUGCUCAUUCCCUAGCCACAUGAGUAUUGAGGAUUCUGUCAUGUGGUCCAGUAAAACAAUCCCUGUGUUGGAUUGUUUCCCCCCAGUACAUGAUGUGCACUAUCAUAUAUACCUCCCCUAAUAUUGAUACUUGAUAUAUUAGACACAAGGUAACUCUUCGGAGGUGUGUUAGGAUACCGGGCACCCUUGACUGGGUGUACCGAAGACCUUGACCGGCAGUCUGCAUGAGUAGGAUAGAUAUUUAGCCACAUGUGUAUUGAGGAUUCUACCGUGUGUAUCUGGGGAGCAAUAGUCCCCCAGUUAGACUGCUCAUUCCUUAGCCACAUGAGUAUUGAGGAUUCUGCUAUGUGGUCUAGUUAAAACGAUCCCCGUGAUGUAUUGUUUUUCACCGGUACAUGAUGAUUGUGUGAGUUGUGUAAUACACACACACACACACACACACACACACACACA
rnacentral:lncRNA from 1 species